AAGCAAACCAAAUAAGCGCGAGCGAGAACUGACGCGAGCAGACGAGUACGAAACGAGCAAUCUGGCCGAGACCAGAUACGAGUACACAUCGAGCGGCCGGGUGGGUUCGCAUGGUUCGCACGACACUCGUUUCCCGCGCCCGCGUCACUGAAGGGGCCACUCUCAUUGGUCUCGGCCGUUCGCGGCUCGCGUCUUUCAUCUCCCACUCCACGUUCGCUCUUUCAUCUUUUGCUAUGCUGGUUCGCUCGGUUAGGCCGCCGACGCUCGCCGCAGGAACGGGCGCCUAAAAGCUGCGCUCUAAAAUGUGGGUCAUUCAUGUGCAUAUGUGCCGCUUUUCAGCGAACCUCUUUGAUGCUAACUUUCCUAUGUGCCACUCGUCAAUGAACUUCUUUGACGUCAACUUGGGUCACUAUGUAUGUGCCUAUGGUAUGUGCCAUGGGGCAUAGCAGACUUCACUGCGGAGCGGCCGCAAGGUGCAGCACACCCAGAGGCAAGCGCAAGAGAGGAGCCCGGCGUCAGCACAAGUCUCAGACAUGACGCGUUCGGCUAUUCGCAUACUUGGAUAGUCAUCGUAGAUGAAUCUCCUCCUCUGUGUUCUCCUGACCGAUGGAAGUCACUCCCUGCUCAGCUCGGCGAGCAAGACCUCGAACUUUGUGGUGUGCUACCUCAUUGGGGUAGAUUGCAGGAAUGUCUGCCUGAAUUUUUUUCCCUCGGCGUUUGUGGAAUUUUGCAGUGGAAAUUUACUUCUCCUGGACAGUGUCAAUUGUCGGCAAUUUUACUAUUCUUAUUAUUAUUAUUACUAUUAGUUAUUAAGAAUGUUGGAGGGAAACGCACAAAAUUGUGUAAUGUUGGCGAUUAGUUUCUCCAUCACCGCAGCACUGCAGCUCAUUGCUUUGGCUAUGAUGUGGUAUUUUGCCUCAGGGAUGGGCUUGAGUUCCCCACGCACCCUCUUCACCGGGCCGAAGUUCCUGUGAUUUUUUUUUAAUACUUAAAGAACCUAUAACAAAGGUACAAGAUUUACAGCUGUGCACAAGGUGAAGACAACUUCACAGGGGCCACUAAACAGCUAUAAUUGAGCUCUAGAGUUGCUUCGAACAGUGGGGAAAAGGUUGGACAAGUGUAUUGACUCUGUUUUGAAAGCAACUCGUUUUCUUUUUUUCGUGGGGGGGUCUCGACCCAUGAAUUGAGGACCGGAUGGGUGAAAAGCCUGUCACCAAAACUGUUCCAGGAAGAUAAAGUGUUUCUGCUUGCAGA